rnacentral:lncRNA from 1 species
CAGUAACAGAGGUGAAUGAAAAGAGAAGACACUGUGUUUGUGUUUUCUCUUGGUUAGAAUGCUGUGAGUCAGGACCUCAGCUGCUGGGUGUCCUGGAACUGCCUUUGGUAGAUGUCUCCAAACUGGGUCUCUGCCACUGCUUUGUUCCAGUUGAAGAGUUUAUAUUAAAUAUGUUGAUGUCAAAAGAACAGGGUGUCUCACCAUCUCAGAGGUAAGUUGAGGAUGUGAGAUGCUUCUUUUCUACACCAAACUGCUCAGUUAAUUUGCCCUCACUCUGCCACUGCUUGAAUUAUCAAAUUAAAGUAAAGUCUUUCCCAUGUGCCUGUCUGAAACAUCGA